rnacentral:rRNA from 1 species
GACGAACGCUGGCGGCGUGCUUAACACAUGCAAGUCGAACGGAAAGGCCCUGCUUUUGUGGGGUGCUCGAGUGGCGAACGGGUGAGUAACACGUGAGUAACCUGCCCUUGACUUUGGGAUAACUUCAGGAAACUGGGGCUAAUACCGGAUAGGAGCUCCUGCUGCAUGGUGGGGGUUGGAAAGUUUCGGCGGUUGGGGAUGGACUCGCGGCUUAUCAGCUUGUUGGUGAGGUAGUGGCUUACCAAGGCUUUGACGGGUAGCCGGCCUGAGAGGGUGACCGGCCACAUUGGGACUGAGAUACGGACCAGACUCCUACGGGAGGCAGCAGUGGGGAACAUUGCACAAUGGGCGGAAGCCUGAUGCAGCAACGCCGCGUGCGGGAUGACGGCCUUCGGGUUGUAAACCGAUUUCGAAUGUGACGAAGCGUGAGUGACGGUAAUGGGUAAAGAAGCACCGGCUAACUACGUG